GGAAAUGCAAUUCCCGACAGCUUAUAGUGAAUCAGGGUCCAAGAAACACAAUUUGGUUUUUGAUGUGCUUGCUCAUGUAUGAAAUGUAGUUUAGUUUUCAACAACAAUGGCAAACGUACAGUGUAACAUUUUUUUUUCUUCCAAAAAGCAUUUAACUCUUUUGUUCAUAUGUGUUUGUUUGUUUAUAUUUGUAAUGUGUAUCAUAGUAAAGUGUAUACUGACAGUUCUUAAGCACUUGAGCAGCUAACUGAACUUAAACUUAAUUUCAGAGGCGCAACUUUGUUCAUUAGUCUGCCCUGACUAAUUUAAAGCCACACACACACACACACACACACACACACACACACACACACACACACACAGUUCGCACUGUAGUUUACAUAGUUUAGUUUACUGCAGUUCAGCAGCGAAAAGGGGCUGGCUGGAUUCUCUGAGACACUUCAGAGGGAAACCAUUUAACCUGAGAGGCGCGCGACCGUCAGCUUGUCUCGCGCAGUACACUUUCAGUAUUACACGCUCUCUUCUAGUGUGCGUCACAUCGUUGCGUCUCCUUUCACCCGCAGAUGAAAUAAAGGUCUACCCGAGUCUCAAAAGAGGAUUCAAGAACAAGGAUAAUAUUUUAACCAUAAUGCCAAAAAUGGUUUCAACUGGGGAUUCAAAAGACGUGUCAAAGUCAUCACAGAGCAAUGGACAUCACACAUCACAAAUAUUUCAUUGUUUAACAACCCUCGUAUGUUUCAUGUUGUCGGCGUCUUCGGUGGCAGUUUGUCUGUUUAUGAACGUUAAAACAUCUCAACUUGAGCGUAAAAUUGAGCUUCUGGAGAUGGAGCGACUGUCUGUGAUUGAACCUGUGCACGCGACACUGGAUGCGAACGCGACUCUUCGGGAUGCGAUAGAGAAACUUGUGCAAGAGAGACUCAAAGAGGGAGUGUCGAAAAUUCGCACAGCUCGAGAAGCAGCGCAAGAGUGCUCCUGUCCUCCAGGUCCUCCAGGAAAACGGGGAAGAAAAGGCAACCCUGGAAUUCCAGUAAGUACCCUGUUAUCACUGAGGCUUUAAUUCAGAACAAAUGUGAGUUGGUCUGGAGGUGGGCAGAUACAGCAUGGCAUGCCGUGAUGGCUUUACAACCUUGAUAUAGACUGCAAAAUGAGGUGAGAUAAGAUGGACUGAAGGAUAUAUAUUCCAGGAGACAGUUUCUGAAUUGAUCACACUCCAUUUUUCACUGUCUGGCAUACAUCCUGACCGCCUGUAUCAUAAUAAUCAGGCAUGCCUUUUAAAAAAUCCAACAGCUGAUUCAAAUCUCUUCGUGCCUUCACAAAGAAUGUAUAGUAAACAUGCUGAAGAGUAUGUGUACAGUCCUCCUUAUAGCAACAAUGCAGCAGCACAAGGGCUUUUAUUGCUGUGGUUGCAUCACAUUUCUCAACAUGAGCAGAAAGCCACAAUAAUAAAGGAGAAGAGUGUGUAAACAUGUAUGGUUGCCCCAAACACAUUCCAUUUUUAUGAGCUAUUUGUCACAUAAGCUGUGUUUAUGUAUUGCGAAUGGACUAUUGAAGACAAUGGCAACAAUGCUGUAUGGAACACUUUAAUAAAGUUCAUUCUUGUGUAUAUUUGUGGGGAUUGGGAUGUAAAAAAACUUUUUUUUUAUUUAUUUUUUUUAAUUCAGAUAUGAUGGGUUUUUAUGUUUUUAAUAUACUGUUUCUUUUUCUUCAUUAAAACCUAACAGGGCACUCCAGGACGAGAUGGCUACCCGGUAAUUGUCACUCCAGUUAUACACUCACUGAUCAACUGAUCACAUCUGCUCUAACCACAAGCUCACAGAGGACUUGGGGUCUCAUGUAGACCUCAGCUUACAGGCAAUGUUAAAUGUCAUAGUGCGCCACCUGCUGGACAUAUUAAAAAUAUAGCUAAAAAACCUGCUGGUGCCAUUUGGGUUGGGUUUAAACUACCAGAUGAGACCUUGGGUGUGUUUCCUAAAAGUAUCUUUAGCCAGCUAUGGUUGCAAGUUCUGUCGUUACCAAGAUAGUUCAAUGAUUUGCCAUCUCCUGAAUCCAUAGUUCCAACCAUAGGCCGGAAAUUCGGGGGGGUGGUGGUCCUGAGGGUCGCCAUCUGAGGGUUGUCCCCCCUAAAAAUAUGAUUAAAAACCAUACCGUGUAUUGUAAAUGACAUUUUAUACUUUAAAUAACUUUGUAAGUAGUACAAAGUGCUCACAGUGCUUUGGUCCAAGUGGAAAGCCCAAAGCCCAAAUUGGGCUACUUUAACACUGUUGACGCUGGUUUUUCAUGUUUGCGGGUUGAAGCAACCUCAAUAACGAAUGCAAAUUUUACCAGACGAACCUGGCUGAAAAAUUUGUAUUUUAUCCCUGAAACGUGGAUUUUUUUUAUUAAUUUUUUUACUGGGGAACCCCCCCUCAAAAAGCGAUUGGGCUAGUUUUGAGCAACAGGGCGGGUUUUGUUGCAAAAACCUGCCAACCCUGCAUCACCUACUCAACUACUUUCAAUAGUUGUGGAAAUCCAAGGCUAUCAAGGCUAUUUUAUUUACUUAAACAUCGAAUGAAGUGAUUAUUUUCUCUUUAAUACAGAUGAUGCCAAUGUAUUUUUCGAUGAGUCCACUAUGUUAGCAAUAAUAAUGUUACUUGCUUGAUGGAUAAUAAUGUCUAAUUUGGCACGGUCUCCCUGCUGCACUAAUAGUAGUUACAAAUUUCCUUACAAGUACAGUUUUAGCUGUGUUAAUUUUGUCCCCUUUAAAAAUUGCUCCUUAUAAAAAUUGUCCCCCCGCCCCCCAACUGUUAGACAAAAUUUACGUCCCUUGCUCCAACAAACAUUCGUAAGCAGCAUCCCAAAGUUGUGUGGUUGGAUCCUGUGCUUGCGCAAAAUAAGUAAGCUAACAUGUAGUACAAGCUAUAUCUUUC
rnacentral:lncRNA from 12 species